rnacentral:snRNA from 1 species
AUCGCUUCUCGGCCUUUUGGCUAAGAUCAAAGUGUAGUAUCUGUUGAAAUAAAAGUUCAUGUUAAACAAAUAUCUGUUUCAGUGUCGGCCGAAUUUUUUUUUUAUAUCCUUAAAAUUGAGAACUGACCAA